CUUUCGGUAAAUAACCUUGAAGGUGAUAUUCCGAAAUUCCUUGGGAACAUGUGUACUGUUGAAACAUUAUCCCUUGCAGUCAACAACCUCAGUGGAUCAAUUAUUCCAGGGUAUUUUGGGUGCUUAGAAAAUUCAUUGCAGUUUUUGGACCUAUUUGCAAAUAACUUUCAUGGUCCAUUAGUGUUACCUCAUAUUGCAAGAUUUUCUUCCUUAAGAGAGCUUCAUCUCUCACAUAAUAAAUUAAAUGGCUUUCUGUCAGAGACCUUUAAUUUGAAACAACCUUCCAAGCUUACUGACUUGUAUUUGUCAAGAAACCAACUUAAAGGGACGUUACCUGAUUUCACAAUAUUUUCAUCUUUGAAAGCAUUACUUAUUAAUGAUAACCAAUUGAACGGAGCUGUCCCUGAAAGUUUGGGAUGCUUAUCUGAGCUUGAACAUUUGUAUUUUUCUCGAAAUUCUUUCGAAGGUGUGAUAUCUGAAACUCAUUUCAAAACUCUCUCCAAAUUAAGGUUUCUUGACUUGUCGUUUAACCAUUUGGUUGUGAAUUUUAGCUCUGGUUGGGUUCCUCCUUUUCAGUUACAUCAAAUUUAUCUAUCAUUUUGCAAAUUGGGGCCUCACUUCCCAAAAUGGCUUCAAACUCAAAAAGAAUUUCAAGAUCUUGAUAUCUCUGGUGCUGGAAUUUCGGAUUCUAUCCCUGAUUGGUUUUGGGACCUACCUCCAUACUUAUUAUCUUUGAAUCUCUCUCAUAAUCAAAUGACUGGCAUGGUACCAGACUUAUCAUCACUCAAGUUUAAGGAAUUUCCUGGAAUGGAUUUAAGUUUUAACAUGUUUGAGGGUCCGUUGCCAGUGCUUCCUUAUAACAUGACAUCAAUAAUUCUUGCGAAAAAUAGGUUUUCAGGAUCAGUUUCUUCAUUAUGUAAGAUUGCAGCUGGGACUUUGAGCAUGCUUGAUCUUUCUGAUAACCUAUUGUGUGGAGUGCUUCCUGAUUGCUUUUUUCACUGGCAAAACCUAAGUGUUUUGAAUUUAGCAAAUAACAACUUCUCAGGGGUUAUUCCGACAACUGUGGGAUCGCUGUUGUCAAUUGAAACAAUUAAUUUGCGCAAUAAUAGCUUCUCUGGAGACUUACCUUCUUCUUUGAAGAAUUGCAAUCUGUUGGAAUUUUUGGACUUAAGCGAGAAUAUGUUUUCUGGAAGUAUUCCGGCCUGGAUAGGAGAAAACUUGUUAUCUUUGAUUUUUUUGAGUCUACAAGCUAAUGAGUUUUAUGGGAGGAUACCUUCCAAUUUAUGCCAAUUGGCAAAGAUACGGAUUCUGGACCUCUCCCAAAACACUCUCGCUGGAUCAAUACCAUUGUGCCUUAAUAAUUUGACUGCCAUGGCUCAAAAAGGAGAUCCAGAUGAUGAUAUCAUUGAACAAGUAUAUGAUCAUUCAGGCCAAGGUAAUGGUUUUUUUGUAGGCUUUUAUACCGCGAAGGCAUGGGUUGGAUGGAAAGGAAGAAGGCACGAGUAUGAAAGAAGCCUUGGACUGUUAAGGAUCAUUGAUCUUGCAAGUAAUAAAUUAGAUGGAGAAAUUCCAGAUGAGAUAACAAGACUUUCUGAAUUGGUUGAAUUGAACUUAUCGGGGAACAAUUUGAUUGGGUUUAUUCCUGAAAACAUUGGUCAGUUGAAACAAUUAGAAUCACUUGAUUUGUCAAACAACCAAUUGUCAGGGCGAAUUCCUAACAGCAUGGCCGAUCUAAACUUUUUGAGUGACUUGAACCUGUCAUAUAAUAACUUAUCAGGAAAAAUUCCAACGAGUACUCAACUCCAAUCCCUUGACGCUUCAGCCUUUUCUGGUAAUCAAGCACUAUAUGGGCCUCCAAUUACACAACAGAGCCCCAAAAAUAAGACGGUUCAAGCUCAGCCACCAGAAGAAGAGAGAGAUGAAUUCAAUAGAUGGUUAUAUGCUGGAAUGGGAAUCGGAUUCUUCAUGGCAUUUUGGGGAGUUAUUGGCACUCUACUGUUAGAGCGUUCUUGGAGGCAUGCAUAUUUUCGACUCUUGGAUAGCUGGACUGACUCACUGUACGUGACAUUCAUGCUGUGGAGUGCAAGAUUGGAAAGGAAGUUCAAAAGUUAGAGACUACUAAGUUUCUACAAAAGAUGGUUUCAAUUUCGAACAUGUUCAGGCAAAAUUCUACUUCAUGAAUCUGUUGAAUAGGUUAACUAUCAUAGUUGUAGCAAUAUCAAAGUUGUGAACUGUGGAUUCAAAAAGAUAAAGAACGUGGCGCGCAGACAUAACUCCAGAUUGGGAUGAAACGCAUUGUCUGUUGAUGCAUAGUCUGCUUUUUCUUCUGUUUUGAGAAGGAUGAAAAAUAUAUGCUUUGAAAUUAUCUUCUUGUCUAUGUAUGCUUAUCUACUUGUUGAUGGACAAAUUCUGAAGAAAACUUUGUUCAAAGUUUUUAGUUUGUUUUAAGACAUUACAUGUUCUUCUCUUAUUACCUUUA